UCUCGAUCUCACGCGGGACAACAGCAGGAUCAUCGACGACACCGCCUAUGUUUACAACAACCACCUUGCGCGAGAGCAGUCGCGACGUUGUUUUCUCUCCAUCUUGAAACGCUCGAAGAAAAACUAUCUUGAAAAAGAAGCUUCGUUUCUUCAAACGCCAGAGGAACUCUUGAACAAAACAACGUGGAAAAUACUUCUAAUACUUAAAAUACCGUAAAAACGAAUUAUAGUUUUGAUGCUACGUUGACAUCAUUUUGACUGCUUAUUUUCACUAAUUGUGAGUAUAAUUAUCAAUGUGUGAACAGUAUUCGCGUCAUAUUAAUUCAAGCAUAUUUUUGUAGGUAUUGAAACAUAUCAAGAAUCCCAGAGCGCAGUCACAGUUCCUGCCGCCUUAGUACGGAGGAAAUUAUCAUUCGCAUCCCUGUUUUGUACAGCCCUGGCCACUGCACAUGCACAUGCACUAACGAAUCGAUGGUACGCGGUACCUCGUGCACGUCGUAGUAGCGUAUUCCCAUAGUAAAGAGGUUGUCGUGAAUAAUACCUUCGCGGAAAAGCGUCCACUUGAGCGGGACGGGUAGUACGGUCGCGUAGUAGCGGCCCGGUAGUACGGCUUCGCGUAUGAAUGGAUGUGGAGCACGCGCGUGUUCCCGAUGAAAGGAUCAGCGUGGUGAAAGGGGUGAAACGAGAGCGACCGAAGAGGAGAAAGGAGUUACCCGGGGUCAAUGAUACCCCGGGCUUCAUAUCGACUGCGCUUGAAUCGAUGGAAAGGCAAGAUACUAUUUACGAGCCGAGCCGAGCCGAGCGGUGAGAACGCGAAUUUUACCGGUGUUUCUAAUCGAGUAAUCAGUAGACGCGUACGAGUAAUCGCGGGUCAGGUACAUUGUCUUUGUAACGACACGCAAGUGUAAGGAGAAAUUUUUGCAACAAUCGGAGAAUCGAAGAGAAUUAUAUUCUUGAUCUCAACGUCUGGUUAAGCAAGUGCACAAAUUUUAUUUGUUAUACUAUUUAAAUAUUUAUUUUAUUGUAAGCUGAGAUCACAAAGAAUAAAACUAUAGACAAUUAUACAAUU